UACGAAGGGUGCAAGCGUUACUCGGAAUUACUGGGCGUAAAGCGUGCGUAGGUGGUUUGUUAAGUCUGAUGUGAAAGCCCUCGGCUCAACCGAGGAAUUGCGCCCAAAACUGCUGCACUAGAGGAAGACAGAGGUACGCGGAACUUAGGGUGGAGCGGUGAAAUGCGUUGAUAUCCUAAGGAACACCGGUGGCGAAAGCGGCGUACUGGGUCUUAUCUGACGCUGAGGCACGAAAGCUAGGGGAGCGAACGGG
rnacentral:rRNA from 1 species